UACAGAGGUCCCAAGCGUUGCUCGGAAUUACUGGGCAUAAAGGGUUCGUAGGUGGUGCGGCAAGUUGGAAGUGAAAUCUCUGGGCUUAACCCAGAGGCUGCUUUCAAAACUGCCGUGCUCGAGUGCGAGAGAGGUCAGUGGAAUUGCAGGUGUAGCGGUGAAAUGCGUAGAUAUCUGCAGGAACACCCGUGGCGAAGGCGGCUGACUGGAUCGCAACUGACACUGAGGAACGAAAGCUAGGGGAGCAAACAGG
rnacentral:rRNA from 1 species